GCUUAACACAUGCAAGUCGAGGGGCAGCAUGGUCUUAGCUUGCUAAGGCCGAUGGCGACCGGCGCACGGGUGAGUAACACGUAUCCAACCUGCCGUCUACUCUUGGACAGCCUUCUGAAAGGGAGAUUAAUACAAGAUGUUAUCAUGAGUAAGCAUUUUCGCAUGAUUAAAGGUUUACCGGUGUAAGAUGGGGAUGCGUUCCAUUAGAUAGUAGGCGGGGUAACGGCCCACCUAGUCUUCGAUGGAUAGGGGUUCUGAGAGGAAGGUCCCCCACAUUGGAACUGAGACACGGUCCAAACUCCUACGGGAGGCAGCAGUGAGGAAUAUUGGUCAAUGGACGAGAGUCUGAACCAGCCAAGUAGCGUGAAGGAUGAAGGUUCUAUGGAUUGUAAACUUCUUUUAUACGGGAAUAAACGAAUCCACGCGUGGAUUUUUGCAUGUACCGUAUGAAUAAGGAUCGGCUAACUCCGUGCCAGCAGCCGCGGUAAUACGGAGGAUCCGAGCGUUAUCCGGAUUUAUUGGGUUUAAAGGGAGCGUAGAUGGGUUGUUAAGUCAGUUGUGAAAGUUUGCGGCUCAACCGUAAAAUUGCAAUUGAUACUGGCAGUCUUGAGUACAGUUGAGGUAGGCGGAAUUCGUGGUGUAGCGGUGAAAUGCUUAGAUAUCACGAAGAACUCCGAUUGCGAAGGCAGCUUACUAACCUGUAACUGACAUUGAUGCUCGAAAGUGUGGGUAUCAAACAGGAUUAGAUACCCUGGUAGUCCACACGGUAAACGAUGAAUACUCGCUGUAGGCGAUAUACAGUCUGCGGCCAAGCGAAAGCAUUAAGUAUUCCACCUGGGGAGUACGCCGGCAACGGUGAAACUCAAAGGAAUUGACGGGGGCCCGCACAAGCGGAGGAACAUGUGGUUUAAUUCGAUGAUACGCGAGGAACCUUACCCGGGCUUAAAUUGCAACCGAAUAUGGCGGAAACGCUAUAGCUAGCAAUAGCGGUUGUGAAGGUGCUGCAUGGUUGUCGUCAGCUCGUGCCGUGAGGUGUCGGCUUAAGUGCCAUAACGAGCGCAACCCUUGCCGAUAGUUACUAACAGGUUAUGCUGAGGACUCUGUCGGGACUGCCAUCGUAAGAUGUGAGGAAGGUGGGGAUGACGUCAAAUCAGCACGGCCCUUACGUCCGGGGCUACACACGUGUUACAAUGGGGGGUACAGAGGGCUGCUACCACGCAAGUGGAUGCCAAUCCCAAAAACCUCUCUCAGUUCGGAUUGAAGUCUGCAACCCGACUUCAUGAAGCUGGAUUCGCUAGUAAUCGCGCAUCAGCCACGGCGCGGUGAAUACGUUCCCGGGCCUUGUACACACCGCCCGUCAAGCCAUGGGAGCCGGGGGUACCUGAAGUGCGUAACCGCAAGGAGCGCCCUAGGGUAAAACUGGUGACUGGGGCUAAGU
rnacentral:rRNA from 1 species